CGUCUAGUACGUGAAUCAUCGAAUCUUUGAACGCACCUUGCACUUUGGGAGUCAAUCUCAAAGUAUACCUGUUUGAGUAUCAUAAACAUUUAUCCAAGUAAUUGGGAUUUGAGGAUUACUUUUACUUUCUAUGAGUAUGAGAAGGUAUAAGAAGGUAUUCCUUUAAAUAUAGAACGGAGUUAGCUGAUGAACUUGCACGCUUACUCGAGUGAGGAUAUUUGCAUUAGUGCAAAGGAUUCAUAAGAGAUUGUGUGAGGACAGUAGUGUAAUGUGACUAUGGCUAUGGCCAUAGCUAUGUUAAAUAAUUCCGAUGAUUUGUUUUGUUUUGUUGUGUUGUGAAAACAAUAUUUUUAAUUUAAUUCAAUUCAAUUUUCUUCUGUACAAAUGUGAUCUCAAAUCAGGCAAGAUUACCCGCUGAACUUAGGCAUAUCAAUAAGCGGAGG
rnacentral:rRNA from 1 species